rnacentral:rRNA from 1 species
UACGUAGGGUGCAAGCGUUAAUCGGAAUUACUGGGCGUAACGCGUGCGCAGGCGGUGCUGUAAGACAGGCGUGAAAUCCCCGGGCUUAACCUGGGAAUGGCGCUUGUGACUGCAGGGCUGGAGUGCGGCAGCGGGGGAUGGAAUUCCGCGUGUAGCCGUGAAAUGCGUAGAUAUGCGGAGGAACACCGAUGGCGAAGGCAAUCCCCUGGGCCUGCACUGACGCUCAUGCACGAAAGCGUGGGGAGCAAACAGG